AUGAUGAAUGUCAGUUUGGCACAGUGUGACCAACACCAUUCACCACUGCCAGUGUUGCUGGACCCAGAGUUGGUGUACACACUUCUCAGUGUAAUACAGAACGUUAUAAAAGGCCUAAAUUUAAAUUCAAAGAGUAUGAAGGCUUUUCACAUUACUUCUCAGUUUUCCCUUGAAGCCUUUGCCAUUGCCCCAUCUUUUAAAAGGGUUGCCAUGAAGAGGCUUUAGAUGAGCUCACUAAAGCAACAGCAGCUCCAUCGAUCCCUCAGGUACAUCUGCAGAGGAAUUUUACGGUGUGUGCAUUGCUUAAUAUCCCACUCUUUUGUAGAGAGAAAAAUAUUGUAGGUUUAGUGAACUGGUACAUUUUUUAUCAGGGAGUACAUCAAAACUGUGAUUUUUAAUACACAUUGCCCUGUGCUGUCUUGUAGUUUUUUAUCACACUAAAUCUAUUCUAAACUAAGUGACUGCUGCAUCUUAGAAUGUAAUUACAGCACAGCAAAAUCAGAUCAGUGAAUGCAACAAACAAUGCUACUCUUGGAGGCUCAGAUCAGACUAAGCUACAAAUAAUCCAUCUUCUGAAUAUAUUAGGUUAUCUUCUGUUUGCACAUUGCAUUAAGCAUAUUAAAAGUUGACUUGUGAAGGUUUUUAAAAUUCUUUUUAUAAGGUAUUUUGUAAGAUAAUGGUAAGGAAAGGCUGAAUUUCCCUGAUAUUCUGUCCAAAAGAAUCCUGUCAUUAGCUUUUGUCCGUAGUGGUCAGUGUUUGUGAAAUCAUGGCUUAUUCCUUGAUCCUUCUGAUAUACUUGGAUCCUUUAGAAUUAGAUAAUUAGGAAAUUAUUUCCACUGUUAAUAUUCGGUUUAUCUUACGCAGUUCUGAAAGCUCUUGUGAAAUGUUGUACAACACUUACGGUGUUCACCAUCUUCUAGUAUUGAGUCUUUGCCAUAAAAUCCCAUUUCUCCAACUUUGUGAUUAAUGUCUAUUGAAGUCAACAACAUCAAAUAAUUUCUACAUUCUACAAAUGUAGAAAUGGAUCCCUAUUUACGCGUACAUUUCCAGAAUUCAUCUGUGAUGUAUUUAUACUCUCUGAUUAAACACACCAAUAAUGGUAACCUUGCAUUGGCUUUGCAAUUUGUUUCUAUCCUGUAAUCUUAUUAACUUCUUUUUUCAUUUUUUUUUUUCCCUCUGAAGGAGUAAAUUGAUUUACAUGAGCAAGCUGUUAACGUUAUAACUCCUUGUCUAGCCCCUUGGGCUCUAAUGUUUUUUAAACACAGUACAAUUAUGGGAAACAUUAUAUUGGAAUGACAACAUAAAUCAUCCCCAUAGGAAUCUGAGCAGUCUGGGGAGUGAUCGUGUAGAACCCUGCUGAGGUAAAUAAAAAGAGUAAUUUGAAAUAAAUAAAAGACCA
rnacentral:lncRNA from 1 species